UCUAGAAGAUAGAUCUGGGGAAACUAGUCUCAAGGACUAAGUCAAUAAAUUAUUCUGGUAGAAGAAAGUUUUCUACAGAGCAGUGUGAAUUUCCCUAGAUGCCAGAAUGCAACCUGUGGGCAGAACUGUGCUAGCAAGGCCAGCUUCAAAGACACCAAAGGCCCUUCAAAACAUAGGACCUUCCUGCUCAAAGCAUAAAGCCCAGUUCCCUCUGACUUCUGCAGGAUGGUGCAUCACCAGGGAACCUAUGCUUCCUACAAGAUGAAGGCACCAAUUCAGUAACAGGUUGUCAGCCCUCUGUUGAGAAGGGAUGUGAAAGUGAUGCUGAGUAAAUAUCUUUGGUCAGAAAGGGUGUUCAGAAGGCUGUGGGCACAUCCAGUUUAUCCAGGUCUUCUCACAAAAGCUGGUAGUCAAUAACAAUGAUAAUAGAAGAAAGGCAUCAGUACAGUUCUCUCUCUCUGGCCACCCUGAACUCAAACUCUGUUAAUCAGCUUCCUUGGCUGGCUUCUCCAGGGACCGAGCUAAGGUGUCCGUGAACUCCUAUAUGAAAGGCUCUGGAAAGGUCACCAGACACUUUUACAACGCUUUUUCCAGGUCACAUCUUCCAGGAUGAUCUCGCCUCCCCACUGAAGCCCCUGGCCCAGCCUCCUGCAGUGUCAUGCUCCGUGUAUUUGACAAGCUGAGUUGGACACUCCAUGUAGUAGUGUCAGUUUGUCAAAUACCCCAAGUGUGGCAUAUGCCUAGCAGCUCCAGGCCGGGACACUUGAGAUACAACAGAAGAAAGACAGUUGGAUACAAGAACACUCAGCAAAUACCAACUAAAUUCUCAGAAGUUGUUUUUGGUGACUUUGAGGGAAAUAAACCAUUAUACAUGAAGGUGUGGGGGAAAAAUGAAGCAGCUCUGCUACACACAGUGGGAGCCCUAGGGCGACACAAUAGUCUUGAAAAGGCAUUUGGGCAUUUUCAAGGGAUGUAAACGUUCUUUGAUUCAUACUUUCUUCCUUCACACUCCCCUCCCAGAGUCACCUAGCAAGGACAUCAGGACUUAGGAACCCAAUUUCUUGACACUUAAUAUUGACUUCUAAACACACUCUGACCUUACUUAUCUCUCUCCUUUUCCUCAUGCUGUUUCUCCUUCUGGGAAUACCUUCUUUAUUUCUCUCUUCUCAUCCAAUUCUUUCCCAUAAUUCCUGGCCCAGCCAAAGUCCAGCAUCUCCAAAGACUUGAAAGUUAACUUAUAUUCUUUCCUGCUUCAUUCUUCAACACACGCCUUGCCUGGGUGCUUGUAUGUACCCAUUUAUCUCUUACUGGCCAAUGGUACCUUUUGAAUUGUUAGUGAGCUUAUUUUUUUUUUUGGUUUGUCUUGUUUAUUAUUAUUAUUUUUUUAAUGGCAGAAUUCUCAACAACAACCUCGAAGGAGUUCUUAAACAAAUUCAAGCUUUUCUGACACUCAAUAAUGGAUAUAUUCUGAAGUCAUAUAUUUUGGACAAAGUUUUCUAACAAUAUUUCAAAUAUUUCAUAAUUUCUUUUUUAAAAUUUAAAUUUUUUAUUUUAAUUAGAGGCUAAUUACUUUACAAUAUUGUGUUGGUUUUGCCAUACAUCAACAUGAAUCCUAAGGGAGGUAUUUUUUUAGUUCCCCACUAGAUUGUGAACUCCUAGAGAACAAUACUCUUUCCGUGAUUGCUCUCUCCCCAUUCCAUCCCUACUCCAACCUCAGCACAAUGCUCUAGUUACAGAAAAUACUUAAUAAAUGCUUAUUGAUAGAAAAAUUUUCCACUAGUCCCUUAGCUUUGGACCUUUGGGUCAAAUGCUACCCAGGAACUUUGUGAAAAACCAAUUUUGGUAACUACAAUGCUAUAGGGUGUGUGAGGUAACUGCCAAUAUGGAGGGUUUUAUCCCUGAGAAAUAGGGUCAAGAGUCAGAGGAUGAGAGCAAAAAAGUAGACUCAGAGAGCAAGUAAGUUUUGGAAUCACUUGGUAGCAAAAAUUAUAUAGAUACUUUAUUGCAGGAUUUUUCAGAGACUUUAAUAUUGAAAUAUUGCUUUGGAAAUCUCCAAGAGAGAGCCAUAGAGUGAAACAUUUCCCAUGCUUAUCUGAUUAUGGAAUUUUUUUCUGGUGAUCCAUUUCCUGGGUCUUGAAUUUCACGGAACAAAAUUUGAGAAACUACCUUAGAGGAACUUUAUAUUUUUCCUCUCUUCUGGAGAUCUUGUCUUUUUACCAAACAGCUACUUGCCUAAGACAGGUCCAAUGUUAUCACAUCAUUUUUGUUUACUCUAUACUGUAUAUUUGGACUAGGUCUAUACUUAGGACUUUCUUACUAACUUAUUUUAUAUGUAAAAAAUUAUCAGGUUUUGGACAGAGACGAUCUCUGGAAGUUUCCUGCUGUAAUAUAUAUAUGAUCCUAGGUCUGUAAUUUUAUCUUUUGUGUGACAUUUAAUCAACUUGUAGCAUCCAUGUUAACUGGCAUCAUUAAAAUAAUUUAAAUGUUUGCUUUCAA